rnacentral:misc_RNA from 1 species
AGUUUCAAAAUUUGAAGAUGAUAGAAUUUGAAAAUAUUGAUGAAUAUUGCACAAGAGUCUUAAAUAUUGUUAAUGAAUUGAGAAAUCACGGUGAUACAAUUUCUGACCAACAAGUUGUGGAAAAGAUUCUAAUUAGUGUCACAGAAAAGUAUGAGUAGGUUGUUGCUAUCAGUGAGGAGACCGAAGAUCUUUCUAAGCUUUCCAUCAAAAAGUCAGAAGCAUUUGCUACAUUCAAGAAAUUUAAAGCCCUUGUUGAGAAGUAAAAAGGUUGCAGCAUCAAAACCAUUCGUAGUGAUAGAUGAGGUGAAUAUACAAGUCGAGAAUUUGAAGAAUAUUACAAAAAUGAAGGCAUUCAGAAGCAACUUACAGCAAGGUGUACUCCUCAACCAAAAAGUGUAUCUAAAAAAAGAAAUACAAUAAUUGUUGAAAUGACCAGAACUAUGAUGAAUGAGAUAGGAAUGCCAAAAUAUUUUUGGUAGAAGCAGUGCAUACAACAGUUCACAUCCUUAACAGGUGUCCAACAAAGGCACUAAAGGACUAGACACCAGUUGAAGCUUGGCGUGGAAUUAAACCUUCUGUAAG